CACCCUUGUUUUUUGCGUACCUAUUGUUUCCUCGGUGGGCUUGCCCACCGGCUGGACAAACCUUAUAACCUUUUUUAAAUCUCCAAUCAGCGUCUGAAUUAUACUUAAUAAUUACAACUUUCAACAACGGAUCUCUUGGUUCUGGCAUCGAUGAAGAACGCAGCGAAAUGCGAUAAGUAGUGUGAAUUGCAGAAUUCAGUGAAUCAUCGAAUCUUUGAACGCACAUUGCGCCCCUUGGUAUUCCAUGGGGCAUGCCUGUUCGAGCGUCAUUUGUACCCUCAAGCUUUGCUUGGUGUUGGGCGUUUGUCUACUUAUUAUAAUUAGACUCGCCUUAAAGUAAUUGGCAGCCAGUGUUUUUGGUAGUAGCGCAGCACAUUUUGCGUCUUCGUCUUCAAACAGCGGCAACCAUAAAGCCUCUUUCUCACUUUUGACCCCGAAUCAGGUAGGGAUACCCGCUGAACUUAAGCAUAUCAAUAGCGGAGGAAAGGG
rnacentral:rRNA from 1 species